CUGAUAUUGAUGAUAUUAAUAGGGGUUUAUUUUGCUAUGUUUGGAGUGCAAGAUGAUGAUACACUUUUGACCUAGUCCUUCAAAGAAGCCUUUAGUUUGAGAUAGCAAACAAGUGAAAGUUUUUUUGUUGUAACCAUAUUGUUUUGCUUUUGAAAGAUGAUAAAGAAUAUUUUCAUACUGUCCCUCCUUCAACAAGUUUAGUACUUAUUCUCUCUACACACUAUAAAAUUACUGGAGGGUCCCAUUUUUUCUUAACAUUCUUUGAUUAGCACAAAACCUUUGGCCCCUCCAUGCCUCUGUUUUAUUAUGUUUGUAGCCUUUCCUGUCUCAUCUAAUAACAAUUAUCUCUCCGGUCCAUGUGAGUGUGUCUAUAUUUUCAUUCAUUUAUAGAAGUGAAACAUUACUGCAUCUAUUGCUUGGCAACUUUCUCACACUGUAUAUUUCAUGCAACUAUUUCGAUGAUGUCUUCAGUUUUCGAGUU